rnacentral:misc_RNA from 1 species
AAUGAAGAACGUAGCGAAAUGCGAUACGUAAUGUGAAUUGCAAAUUCAGUGAAUCAUCGAGUCUUUGAACGCACAUUGCGCCCCCUGGUAUUCCGGGGGGCAUGCCUGUCCGAGCGUCAUUGCUGCCCUCAAGCACGGCUUGUGUGUUGGGCCCCGUCCUCCGAUCCCGGGGGACGGGCCCGAAAGGCAGCGGCGGCACCGCGUCCGGUCCUCGAGCGUAUGGGGCUUUGUCACCCGCUCUGUAGGCCCGGCCGGCGCUUGCCGAUCAACCCAAAUUUUUAUCCAGGUUGACCUCGGAUCAGGUAGGGAUACCCGCUGAACUUAAGCAUAUCAAUACGCGGAGGA